ensembl:misc_RNA Metazoa_SRP Metazoan signal recognition particle RNA
ACCGUGCACAGCGGUGCAUACCUACAGACCCAGCUACUCAGGAGGCUGGGGUGGGAGGAUCACUUGAGCCCAGGAGUUCUGGGCUGUAGUGCGCUAUGCCGAUCGGGUGUCCGCACUAAGUUCGGCAUCAAUAUGGUGACCUCUCAGGAGCGGGGAACCAACAGGUUCCCUAAGGAGGGGUGAACCAGCCCAGGUCGGAAACAGAGCAGGUCAAAACUCCCGUGUUGAUCAGUAGUGGGAUUGCGCCUGUGAAUAGCCACUGCACUCCAGCCUGGGCAACAUAGUAAGACCUCAUCUCUA